CAGAGCUUGUUCAGACAUUGAUAAGGUUAUCCAUUACAUCCUGGGCCAUCACCAGUCAUGUUGAGUUUUGUCUUGCCACAAGACUUCAAUGACUCUGGAAGAGAGAGUGCCUGGAAACUUUAUGCAACUCUGCCUCACUUAAAUCCAAUUUAUGCUUGGGUCUAAAGACAUUAACAGUGAUAUCUUUUUGGUCCUCUUCAAGGAUAAAGAACAACCACCAACCAACUUUCCCAUCUAUGUAAAUAUUUUAUGAGAAUAGUCUACACACACUUUCAGGGCAUCUUCCAUGGGGGGCAUUAGUAGGGAAUAGGCAGACUUACAAGUAAUAUUCUAGAGUAGGUCACAUUUUUAUCAUCACACAAUUGAGGGAAAGAUGCUCCUGUGUUAAUUGUUCAUUAGUUAGAAAGCAUUUGAUCUAGGCACAGCUAGUUGACUCAGUGGAUAGGAAGCCAAGCUUAGAAAUAGGAGGUCCUGGGUUCAAAUUUGACUUCAGAAGCUUCCUCACUAUGUUACCCUGGGCAAGUCAAUUAACCCCAAUGACCAGUCCUAUUCACUUUUCUACCUUGGAGUUGAUACUUAAUAUCAAUUCUAAGAAGAAAGAAAGAAAGAAAGAAAGAAAGAAAGAAAGAAAGAAAGAAAGAAAGAAAGAAAGAAAGAAAGAAAGAAAGAAAGAAAGAAAGAAAGAAAGAAAGAAAGAAAGAAAGAAAGAAAGAAAGAAAGAAAGAAAGAAAGAAAGAAAGAAAGAAAGAAAGAAAGAAAGAAAGAAAGAAAGAAAGAAAGAAAGAAAGAAAGAAAGAAAGAAGGAAAGGAAAGAAGGAAGGAAGGAAGGAAGGAAGGAAGGAAGGAAGGAAGGAAGGAAGGAAGGAAGGAAGGAAGGAAGGAAGGAAGGAAGGAAGGAAGGGAGGGAGGGAGGGAGGGAGGGAGGGAGGGAGGGAGGGAGGGAGGAAGGAAGGAAGGAAGGAAGGAAGGAAGGAAGGAAGGAAGGAAGGAAGGAAGGAAGGAAGGAAGGAAGGAAGGAAGGAAGGAGAGGGAAAGAGGGAGGGGAGGGAGGAGAGGGAAGGAGAGAGAGAAGGAGGGAAGGAAAAAGAAAUAGUUAACAUGGUAACACCUGUUCUUGAAGUAGUCCUCUUUUGUUUUUUCCUUUGUAAUCCAUGCUUCUUCUCUAGAUAGUCACCAAAUAUUCUCUUAUAAUGUCCCCCAGAAUUUUACCAGGAAUCAGUCAAGUUUACUGGAUUAUAACUUGCAAAAAUCAUUUUCUUCCUUUGAAAAAAAUCAUGAUAAUAUUUACCAAUUUCCAGUCCUGCUGUUCCUCUUCAGCUCCCCACAGUUUUUCAAAGAUCACAGUCAGAGCCUCAACAAUAACUUUUGUUAUUUUUUUUUCAGUACAGGGAGAUAAUAUGAUUUGUCUUAAGUCUGUUGAGUUAACACAUCCAUAGCAGUAAAGAGUUCUCUUUACUAGGUUUAGGAUUUAGCUCCCUAUUAGCCACUUUUGUUCUUUCCUUUCCAGUAUGAAGAUCAUUGUCCUUUGCAGAAAAACCAAAAGCAAAAUGAAUCAAAGGACUCUGUCUUCUCUUCCUAAUCAGUGAGCCAUCAGAUUAUCAUCUCAUCCACCCUGGGGCAAUGGUGCUAAUUAUUUUCUUCACCUCCUCUUUUCUCCAGCAUAGCUUUUAAAAAAUCACAAUAACAUCACAGGAUUUUGUUGUUGAUGUUCAUAAACUCUCUUUUCUGGUGUAAGCUUAUUCUGAGCUUUAUCAUGCCUGACAGUAUUCUUGAAGGACCCUGUCAUAUUUUUCUGUUUAUCCUCCUUUAAUUGUUCUUGCUUCCACCUUCUGUGUCUUUAAAAAAAUCUGAGUAGAUGAGUACCCUGUGGGUAGUAAUAACAAAAGUUAACAUUUAAAUAGACAGCUAGAUAGAAGGCACAAUGGAUAGAGCUCAGGGCCUGGAAUCAGGAAGACUUGAGUUCAAGUCCAACCUUAGACAUGUACAUACUGGUUAUGUGAUCCUGGGCAAAUCACUUAACCCUAUUUGCCUCAGUUCUCUUAUCUUUAAGGUGAAUUGGAGAGGGAAAUGGCAAACCACUGUGAUAUCUUUGCAGAGAAAAUCCCAAAUGAGGAUAGAAGAGUCAGACACCACUGAAGAACAAUAUUUAAACAGAACUGUAAGAUGAGUGAAGUGAUUAUGCUUUAAUAGUUUAAAAUUGACCAAAGAUUUUUGAAAAAUCCUCUGCUAUUUCAUUUGAUUCUUGUAACAACUGCUUGGAAGGAGAUGCUAUUAUUAUCCUCAUUUUACCUAUGAGGAACCUGAGACUUGGGAAACUGAGAGAUGGGCCCAGGGUCACAAGGAUAACAAGUGACUGAGGCAGUUUUCCUGACUCCAGGCCAUUUUAUCUACUCUGCCACUUAGCUUCAUCCACAUGAUUUAUUCAUUUAUUUAGCAAUUAUUUGUUGAAUAACUAGUCUGUUCAAUACACUGUGAUAGAUCCCAUGGUGGGGUAUAAGUAGAAUAAAACAUAAUCCCUGACUUUAUGGAGCCUGUAU
ensembl:lncRNA